CAUGCAAGUCGAACGGAAAUCUUUUAGAUUUUAGUGGCGAACGGGUGAGUAACACGUAAGCAACCUGCCUUUAAGACGAGAAUAACAAUUGGAAACAGUUGCUAAGGCUGGAUAGGAAAUAAAAAGGCAUCUUUUUAUUUUUAAAAGGCCUUUUUCGGAAGGUAUGCUUAAAGAGGGGCUUGUGUCACAUUAGUUAGUUGGUAGGGUAAAGGCCUACCAAGACGAUGAUGUGUAGCUGGACUGAGAGGUUGAACAGCCACAUUGGGACUGAGACACGGCCCAAACUCCUACGGGAGGCAGCAGUAGGGAAUUUUCGGCAAUGGAGGAAACUCUGACCGAGCAACGCCGCGUGAACGACGAAGUACUUCGGUAUGUAAAGUUCUUUUAUUGAAGAAGAAACAAUAGUGGAAAAACUAUCUUGACGUUAUUCAAUGAAUAAGCCCCGGCUAACUAUGUGCCAGCAGCCGCGGUAAUACAUAGGGGGCGAGCGUUAUCCGGAAUUAUUGGGCGUAAAGGGUGCGUAGGCGGUUUAAUAAGUCUCUAGUUUAAUUUCAACGCUUAACGUUGUCCUGCUAGAGAAACUGUUUAACUAGAGUGAGAUAGAGGUAAGCGGAAUUCCAUGUGUAGCGGUAAAAUGUGUAAAUAUAUGGAGGAACACCAGAGGCGUAGGCGGCUUACUGGGUCUUUACUGACGCUGAUGCACGAAAGCGUGGGGAGCAAACAGGAUUAGAUACCCUGGUAGUCCACGCCGUAAACUAUGAGUACUAAGUGUCGGGGUUAAACUCGGUACUGAAGUUAACACAUUAAGCACUCCGCCUGAGUAGUACGUACGCAAGUAUGAAACUUAAAGGAAUUGACGGGAUCCCGCACAAGCGGUGGAUCAUGUUGUUUAAUUCGAAGAUACACGAAAAAUCUUACCAGGUCUUGACAUACUCUGCAAAGCUAUAGAAAUAUAGUGGAGGUUAUCAGGGAUACAGGUGGUGCAUGGUUGUCGUCAGCUCGUGUCGUGAGAUGUUAGGCUAAGUUCUAAAACGAGCGCAACCCCUGUCGUUAAUUGCCAGCACGUUAUGGUGGGGACUUUAGCGAGACUGCCAAUGAAAAAUUGGAGGAAGGUGGGGAUUACGUCAAAUCAUCAUGUCCCUUAUGAUCUGGGCUACAAACGUGAUACAAUGGCUAUUACAAAGAGUAGCUGAAACGCGAGUUUUCGGCAAAUCUCAAAAAAAUAGUCUCAGUUCGGAUUGAAGUCUGCAACUCGACUUCAUGAAGUUGGAAUCGCUAGUAAUCGCGAAUCAGCAUGUCGCGGUGAAUACGUUCUCGGGGUUUGUACACACCGCCCGUCAAACCACGAAAGUGGACAAUACCCGAAAGCGACAGCCUAACUGCGUAAGCA
rnacentral:rRNA from 1 species